rnacentral:rRNA from 1 species
AACGAACGCUGGCGGCAGGCUUAACACAUGCAAGUCGAGCGGGCGUAGCAAUACGUCAGCGGCAGACGGGUGAGUAACGCGUGGGAACGUACCUUUUGGUUCGGAACAACACAGGGAAACUUGUGCUAAUACCGGAUAAGCCCUUACGGGGAAAGAUUUAUCGCCGAAAGAUCGGCCCGCGUCUGAUUAGCUAGUUGGUGAGGUAAUGGCUCACCAAGGCGACGAUCAGUAGCUGGUCUGAGAGGAUGAUCAGCCACAUUGGGACUGAGACACGGCCCAAACUCCUACGGGAGGCAGCAGUGGGGGAUAUUGGACAAUGGGCGCAAGCCUGAUCCAGCCAUGCCGCGUGAGUGAUGAAGGCCCUAGGGUUGUAAAGCUCUUUUGUGCGGGAAGAUAAUGACGGUACCGCAAGAAUAAGCCCCGGCUAACUACGUGCCAGCAGCCGCCGUAAAAC